AGGUUCGAUUCUGGCUCAGGAUGAACGCUAGCGGCAGGCUUAACACAUGCAAGUCGAGGGGCAUCGGGUUGUAGCAAUACAAUGCCGGCGACCGGCGAAAGGGUGAGUAACGCGUGAGCAACAUGCCCGAUAGUGGAGGAUAGUCGAUGGAAACGUCGCGUAAUACUCCGUAACAACAGAGGCCGCAUGACCUUUGUUUAAUAGAUUUAUUGCUAUCGGAUUGGCUCGCGUACCAUUAGCUAGUUGGCGGGGUAACGGCCCACCAAGGCGACGAUGGUUAGGGGUUCUGAGAGGAAGGUCCCCCACAUUGGAACUGAGACACGGUCCAGACUCCUACGGGAGGCAGCAGUGAGGAAUAUUGGUCAAUGGCCGAAAGGCUGAACCAGCCAUGCCCGCGUGCGGGAGGACGGCCCUAUGGGUUGUAAACCGCUUUUGUCGGGGAGCAAUAAGACGGACGAGUCCGUCGACGAGAGUACCCGGCGAAUAAGCAUCGGCUAACUCCGUGCCAGCCGCUGC
rnacentral:rRNA from 1 species